GAUGAAGAACGCAGCGAAAUGCGAUACGUAAUGUGAAUUGCAGAAUUCAGUGAAUCAUCGAAUCUUUGAACGCAUAUUGCGCUCUUUGGUAUUCCGAAGAGCAUGCUUGUUUGAGUAUCAGUAAACACCUCAACCUCUUCUUGAUUUUUCAAAAGGAGGGUGGACUUGAGCUAUCCCAACAACCUUUACCGGUCGGCGGGCGGCUUGACAUGCAGGUGCAGCUGGACUUUUAUCUGAGCUAAAAGCAUAUCUAUUUAGUCCUCGUCAAACAGGAUUAUUACUUUUGCUGCAGCUAACAUAAAGGAUAAUUGUCCUCUUUGCUGACUGAUGCAGGAUUUUACGACACUUUAUGUGUUGUUCAACUCGAUCUCAAAUCAAGUAAGACUACCCGCUGAACUUAAGCAUAUCAAUAAGCGGAGGA
rnacentral:misc_RNA from 1 species